CGGGCCAGGGCCGGGUUGGUUAGGCACCUCAUUUGGGUUGAGGACUAGUUAUGUUCGAAUCAUAAUGACCCGA
rnacentral:tRNA from 1 species